rnacentral:misc_RNA from 1 species
UGCAGCAUCAAGGCUUUCUGGAGCUGACAAUGCUCGUGCUCUACUGUUAGUUACUCUGUUAUCUUGUUGAACAGGCUUCGCUCUUGUCCUAAAACUAGGGGGCGCUGACUGCAACGUCCGAGUUGGUAUCUGGGGCUCAGGUAGUGUGGUUGGUGUUUGCUCCUUAGGACUGACACGCUUGAUGGAAGCUGAUGGCUCAGGCUUUUUCUUCUUGCUCUUCAAAACAGUGAAACACCCCAUCUUACUACAUACAAUAAUACUUCAAAAAUGGAAGCGCCUCCAAACUUUCUGUUCAUGCAAAGUUUCACUUAGACGGAGACGAAUAGAGGCAAAAUGGCGAAAUGGGAACGUGCGUCCUUGAUUCGAUGAGAGGAAACCACGAGAAAGGAAAA